rnacentral:rRNA from 1 species
GUAAAGGGAGCGUAGACGGAUAAGCAAGUCUGAUGUGAACAUCCGGGGCCCAACCCCGGAAUUGCACCCCCAACUGCAUAUCUAGAGUGUCGGGGNCACAACACACCUUCCUGGUGCAGCGGUGAAAGGCGGAGAUCUCUGGGAAAACACCAGAGGCGAAGGCGGCACGCCGGACGANGACNGACGNNGAGGCUCGAAAACGAGGGGGGCCCUUUAAGGGAGANACNNNGGUAGUNCACAAAAAAAAGGGCCCCUGACUGAUGUCGGGAGGCAAAGCCUUUUGGUGCCGCAGCCAACGCAAUAAGUAGUCCACCUGGGGAGUACGUUCGCAAGAAUGAAAACUCAAAGGAAUUGACGGGGACCCGCACAAGCGGUGGAGCAUGUGGUUUAAUUCGAAGCAACGCGAAGAACCUUACCUGGCCUUGACAUCCCGGUGACAGCGAAGUAAUGUUCGUUUUCCUUCGGGACACUGGAGACAGGUGGUGCAUGGUUGUCGUCAGCUCGUGUCGUGAGAUGUUGGGUUAAGUCCCGCAACGAGCGCAACCCUUACCUUCAGUAGCCAGCAUUUAGGAUGGGCACUCUGGAGGGACUGCCAGGGACAACCUGGAGGAAGGUGGGGAUGACGUCAAAUCAUCAUGCCCCUUAUGGCCAGGGCUACACACGUGCUACAAUGGCGUAAACAAAGAGAAGCGACCACGUGAGUGUGAGCGAAUCUCAAAAAUAACGUCUCAGUUCGGAUUGUAGUCUGCAACUCGACUACAUGAAGCUGGAAUCGCUAGUAAUCGC